rnacentral:rRNA from 1 species
UUAAUAUUCCUGUACUUGGUGUUACUGCGAAGGGGGGACGGAGAAGGCUAUGUUAGCCGGGCGACGGUUGUCCCGGUUUAAGCAUGUAGGCUGGUUAUCCAGGCAAAUCCGGAUAACCAAGGCUGAGGUGUGAUGACGAGGCACUACGGUGCUGAAGUAACAAAUGCCCUGCUUCCAGGAAAAGCCUCUAAGCAUCAGGUAACAUCAAAUCGUACCCCAAACCGACACAGGUGGUCAGGUAGAGAAUACCAAGGCGCUUGAGAGAACUCGGGUGAAGGAACUAGGCAAAAUGGUGCCGUAACUUCGGGAGAAGGCACGCUGGUGUGUAGGUGAAGUCCCUGCGGAUGGAGCUGAGACCAGUCGAAGAUACCAGCUGGCUGCAACUGUUUAUUAAAAACACAGCACUGUGCAAACACGAAAGUGGACGUAUACGGUGUGACGCCUGCCCGGUGCCGGAAGGUUAAUUGAUGGGGUUAUCCGUAAGGAGAAGCUCUUGAUCGAAGCCCCGGUAAACGGCGGCCGUAACUAUAACGGUCCUAAGGUAGCGAAAUUCCUUGUCGGGUAAGUUCCGACCUGCACGAAUGGCGUAAUGAUGGCCAGGCUGUCUCCACCCGAGACUCAGUGAAAUUGAACUCGCUGUGAAGAUGCAGUGUACCCGCGGCAAGACGGAAAGACCCCGUGAACCUUUACUAUAGCUUGACACUGAACAUUGAGCCUUGAUGUGUAGGAUAGGUGGGAGGCUUUGAAGCGUGGACGCCAGUCUGCGUGGAGCCAACCUUGAAAUACCACCCUUUAAUGUUUGAUGUUCUAACGUUGGCCCCUGACCGGGGUUGCGGACAGUGUCUGGUGGGUAGUUUGACUGGGGCGGUCUCCUCCCAAAGCGUAACGGAGGAGCACGAAGGUUAGCUAAUCCUGGUCGGACAUCAGGAGGUUAGUGCAAUGGCAUAAGCUAGCUUGACUGCGAGCGUGACGGCGCGAGCAGGUGCGAAAGCAGGUCAUAGUGAUCCGGUGGUUCUGAAUGGAAGGGCCAUCGCUCAACGGAUAAAAGGUACUCCGGGGAUAACAGGCUGAUACCGCCCAAGAGUUCAUAUCGACGGCGGUGUUUGGCACCUCGAUGUCGGCUCAUCACAUCCUGGGGCUGAAGUAGGUCCCAAGGGUAUGGCUGUUCGCCAUUUAAAGUGGUACGCGAGCUGGGUUUAGAACGUCGUGAGACAGUUCGGUCCCUAUCUGCCGUGGGCGCUGGAGAAUUGAGGGGGGCUGCUCCUAGUACGAGAGGACCGGAGUGGACGCAUCACUGGUGUUCGGGUUGUCAUGCCAAUGGCACUGCCCGGUAGCUAAAUGCGGAAGAGAUAAGUGCUGAAAGCAUCUAAGCACGAAACUUGCCCCGAGAUGAGUUCUCCCUGAGACU